AGCUUUGCGCAGUGGCAGUAUCAUAGCCAAUGAGGUUUAUCCGAGGUGUGAUUAUUGCUAAUUGAAAACUGCAUCAAACUAAAAAGCUUCUAUGUAGCAAAGGAAACCAUCAAUAAAAUGAAAAGACAACCUACAAAUGGGAGAAAAUAUUUGCAAACUACAUAUAAG
ensembl:snRNA U4 U4 spliceosomal RNA